CAGUUCGGAUUGGAGUCUGCAACCCGACUCCAUGAAGCUGGAUUCGCUAGUAAUCGCGCAUCAGCCACGGCGCGGUGAAUACGUUCCCGGGCCUUGUACACACCGCCCGUCACACCAUGGGAGCCGGUAAUACCCGAAGUCAGUAGUCCAACCUCGUGAGGACGCUGCCGAAGGUAGGAUUGGCGACUGGGGUGAAGUCGUAACAAGGUACC
rnacentral:rRNA from 1 species